UACGUAGGUGGCGAGCGUUAUCCGGAUUUAUUGGGCGUAAAGCGUGCGCAGACGGCUUAUUAAGUCUAUGAUUAAAGCCCGAGGCUUAACCUCGGUUCGUUAUAGAUACUGGUAGGCUUGAGUGUAGUAGAGGCAAAUGGAAUUUCUAGUGUAGCGGUGGAAUGCGUAGAUAUUAGAAGGAACACCAGUGGCGAAGGCGAUUUGCUGGGCUAUUACUGACGUUCAUGCACGAAAGCGUGGGGAGCAAAUAGG
rnacentral:rRNA from 1 species